GCUUAGAAGCAGCCAUCAUUUAAAGAAAGCGUAAUAGCUCACUAGUCGAGUCGGCCUGCGCGGAAGAUGUAACGGGGCUAAAAUUAGUCACCGAAGCUGCGGCAUCAAUGGAAACAUUGUUGGGUAGGGGAGCGUUCUGUAAGCGGACGAAGGUGAAUCGAGAGGUUUGCUGGACGUAUCAGAAGUGCGAAUGCUGACAUAAGUAACGAUAAAACGAGUGAAAAACUCGUUCGCCGGAAGACCAAGGGUUCCUGUCCAACGUUAAUCGGGGCAGGGUGAGUCGGCCCCUAAGGCGAGGCUGAAAAGCGUAGUCGAUGGACAACAGGUUAAUAUUCCUGUACUUUCUUUAAUUGUGAUGGAGUGACGGAGAAGGAUAAGCAUACCUAUUAUUGGAUUUAGGGGUAAGUAGUUACUGGUGAUUGUAGGCAAAUCCGCAAUCUAUAACUGGGAGCUAUGAUGCAUAGGACUUUUGUCUGAAUUUGCCAAUUCCAUGCUUCCUAGAAAAGUUUCUAAACUUAAUUUUAUUGAAACCUGUACCAAGAACGGACACACGUCCCCAAGAUGAGUAUUCUAAGGCGAGCGAGAAAACUAGUGUUAAGGAACUCUGCAAAAUGACCCCGUAAGUUCGCAAGAAGGGGCGCCUAUGGUAACACAUAGGCCA
rnacentral:rRNA from 1 species